CUGGUGCCAGCAGCCGCGGUAAUUCCAGCUCCAAUAGCGUAUAUUAAAGUUGUUGCAGUUAAAAGCUCGUAGUUGAAUUUCGGGAUCAGCAAGUUGGUCGUGCCUCUGGUACGUACUGGCUUUACUGGUUCCUCCUUCUUGAAGAACUGUAAUGUCAUUAAUUUGAUGUUGCAGGGAAACAGGACUGUUACUUUGAAAAAAUUAGAGUGUUUAAAGCAAGCUAACGCUUGAAUACAUUAGCAUGGAAUAAUGAAAUAGGACGUUUGAUCCUAUUUUGUUGGUUUCUAGGGAUUGACGUAAUGAUUAAUAGGGAUAGUUGGGGGCAUUAGUAUUCAAUUGUCAGAGGUGAAAUUCUUGGAUUUAUUGAAGACUAACUACUGCGAAAGCAUUUGCCAAGGAUGUUUUCAUUAAUCAAGAACGAAAGUUAGGGGGAUCGAAGACGAUCAGAUACCGUCGUGGUCUUAACCAUAAACUAUGCCGACUAGGGGAUCGGAUGAUGUUAAUUUUUUAAUGACUCAUUCGGCGCCUUACG
rnacentral:rRNA from 1 species